CCAACACCCAGCAAGCCCCAACAGAGACAGGCUGAGCACUUCCUUUUAGAGUAUCCCCUGUCUCUGUCCCCUUUCCAAAAAAAGCAAAGCAUGUCCCCAGAUUGAGGACAAAAGAUGCAAACAUCCACAAUAUUGUUGACUCACAGUGAAAAAGACUGGCAGGACCCACCAGGCGCUUCAUACGUAAAACUACAUCAGGACUGGGGCUCAGCAGUGGGCGCUUGUCUCGUACGUGGGAGGCACUGGGUUGGAUCCCCAGCACCCAUAAAAAUAACUAACAAUAAAGGUAUUGUGUCCAUCUACUACAAAAAAAGAAAAAAGAAAGUUACUCUUUCCAGCCUUCACUUGGUUUCUGUGGAAACAACUAUCCCUGAGGCUCACACUCCCUUGGGGACCCGACGGUGAGUUCCAGAGGGGACAAAGAAGAGCAGCUAGUAGAAAGCACUGAGCCCAAGUUCACAACUCCCUCUCCACAACCUAGUGCUCAUUCCUCAGAGCAUCACCUCCAGGGGGCACCUACUCAUCAAGGACCCUACUGGGUAAAAUGUGUAACUGCCAGUUCUUUGUGGGUGACCUGUGGGACAGCAGCCCUACCCAAGAGGACGGAACCUCAUGAACCCUCAGGCUCUGUAGGCUGGAAAGUGAGUUUCAUGCUGAAAACUUGUUAGCAUCCUAAAAGGUACAGGAUCAGUAAAAUCACGUGAGGAAACAGGCAGCAAGGCUUCCGUAUUGCACAGAAUUUUACCCCAGGAGCCGUUCAAGACACCAAUACCAGUUGUGGCUCCAUGGUCAAGCAAGGGCAAAGAGUUCAACCUCCAGCACCCUCCCGACAUUUUUUAAGUGUUAAUACCAUGAUGAAGAGGAAAAGGCCCUGGACUAGAAGUCAAGAGCUCAAAGUUCAAGUCCAAUUGUGCAAUCAGAAAUAGCUCUGCAGCGUAUACACGUC
rnacentral:lncRNA from 1 species